rnacentral:rRNA from 1 species
GUACACGCUGUGACUAGCAUAUCAAUAAGCGGAGGAAAAGAAACUAACAAGGAUUCCCUUAGUAACGGCGAGUGAAGCGGGAAGAGCUCAAAUUUGAAAUCUUCAAGGUUUUACCUUGACGAAUUGUAGUUUAAAGAAGUGUUUCUGCUGAAGUUUUGGUAAAAGUUCUUUGGAAUAGGACAUCAUAGAGGGUGAGAAUCCCGUAUUUGACCAUUAUUUUCAGCUUUGUGAUACACUUUCAAAGAGUCGGAUUGUUUGGGAAUGCAGUCCAAAAUGGGUGAUAAAUUUCAUCUAAAGCUAAAUAUUGGCGAGAGACCGAUAGCGAACAAGUACCGUGAGGGAAAGAUGAAAAGAACUUUGAAAAGAGAGUUAAACAGUACGUGAAAUUGUCAAAAGGGAAGCGUUUAACACCAGUGUUGUUUUCUGAAAAUCAACCUCUGUUAGCUUUAUGCAUGUUUGUUUAGACCUAAUCAGCUAUCUUGCAUGUUCUAUUGUUUGCAGUGGUGCACUUUUCAGUUUACAGGUCAACAUCAGCUUUUUUUUACCGUAAAAAAGUUAAAGAAAGGUAGCUCAUGGCUCCGGUCGUGAGUGUUAUAGUCUUUUUCCUAUGCGGUAGGAGAGACUGAGGUCUGCAGUGUAGGCUAUUUGGCUAGAUACUCAGGUGCUAUGUGAUACCAUUUCAUAAACAACUUGUUGAUUAUGUUUUGUCUAUUGCAUACUCGCUUGUACUAUCAUACCUACGCUUAGGAUGUUGAGUAGCGACAUACGCAC